rnacentral:rRNA from 1 species
AACGAACGCUGGCGGCGUGGAUAAGACAUGCAAGUCGUACGGGACCAGGUUUGUAGCAAUACAGGCUUGGUUCAGUGGCGAACGGGUGCGUAACACGUGAGCAAUCUGCCGGGAAGUGGGGGAUAGCUCGCCGAAAGGCGAAUUAAUACCGCAUAUGGCCACUCUUUAAUUGAAGGAAAAGCCAAAGCAGCAAUGCGCUUCCUGAUGAGCUCGCGGCCUAUCAGCUAGAUGGCGGGGUAACGGCCCACCAUGGCUAUGACGGGUAGCUGGUCUGAGAGGACGACCAGCCACACUGGAACUGAGAUACGGUCCAGACACCUACGGGUGGCAGCAGUCGAGAAUUUUUCACAAUGGGGGCAACCCUGAUGGAGCGACGCCGCGUGGAGGAUGAAGGCCUUCGGGUUGUAAACUCCUGUCAUGCGGGAACAAGCAAGUGAUAGUACCGCAAGAGGAAGAGACGGCUAACUCUGUGCCAGCAGCCGCGGUAAUACAGAGGUCUCAAGCGUUGUUCGGAUUCAUUGGGCGUAAAGGGUGCGUAGGUGGUGACGCAAGUCUGGUGUGAAAUCUCGGAGCUUAACUCCGAAAUUGCACCGGAUACUGCGUAACUCGAGGACUGUAGAGGAGAUCGGAAUUCACGGUGUAGCAGUGAAAUGCGUAGAUAUCGUGAGGAAGACCAGUUGCGAAGGCGGAUCUCUGGGCAGUUCCUGACACUGAGGCACGAAGGCCAGGGGAGCAAACGGGAUUAGAUACCCCGGUAGUCCUGGCAGUAAACGGUGCACGUUUGGUGUGGGCGGGUUCAGACCCCGUCCGUGCCGGAGCUAACGCGUUAAACGUGCCGCCUGGGAAGUACGGUCGCAAGAUUAAAACUCAAAGAAAUUGACGGGGGCCCGCACAAGCGGUGGAGUAUGUGGCUUAAUUCGAUGCAACGCGAAGAACCUUACCUGGCCUUGACAUGCAUUGUGUCCCCGGUGAAAGCCGGGUAGCUGGUAGCAAUAUCAGUGCCUUGCACAGGUGCUGCAUGGCUGUC